GGUCCUAAGGUAGCGAAAUUCCUUGUCGGGUAAGUUCCGACCUGCACGAAUGGCGUAACGAUGGCCACACUGUCUCCUCCUGAGACUCAGCGAAGUUGAAAUGUUUGUGAUGAUGCAAUCUACCCGCGGCUAGACGGAAAGACCCCAUGAACCUUUACUGUAGCUUUGCAUUGGACUGUGAACCGAUCUGUGUAGGAUAGGUGGGAGGCUUUGAAGCGGUGCCGCUAGGUGUCGUGGAGCCAACGUUGAAAUACCACCCUGGUGUGUUUGAGGUUCUAACCUUGGCCCGUUAUCCGGGUUGGGGACAGUGUAUGGUGGGCAGUUUGACUGGGGCGGUCUCCUCCCAAAGUGUAACGGAGGAGUUCGAAGGUACGCUAAAUACGGUCGGAAAUCGUGUUGAUAGUGCAUUGGCAUAAGCGUGCUUGACUGCGAGACUGACAAGUCGAGCAGGUACGAAAGUAGGACAAAGUGAUCCGGUGGUUCUGUAUGGAAGGGCCAUCGCUCAACGGAUAAAAGGUACUCUGGGGAUAACAGGCUGAUACCGCCCAAGAGUUCAUAUCGACGGCGGUGUUUGGCACCUCGAUGUCGGCUCAUCUCAUCCUGGGGCUGUAGCCGGUCCCAAGGGUAUGGCUGUUCGCCAUUUAAAGAGGUACGUGAGCUGGGUUUAAAACGUCGUGAGACAGUUUGGUCCCUAUCUUCCGUGGGCGCUGCAAGAUUGAGAGAGCCUGCUCCUAGUACGAGAGGACCGGAGUGGACGCACCGCUGGUGUAUCGGUUGUCAUGCCAAUGGCAUUGCCGAGUAGCUAAGUGCGGAAGAGAUAACCGCUGAAAGCAUCUAAGCGGGAAACUCGUUUCAAGAUGAGAUCUGCCGGGGCCUUGAGCCCCCUAAAGAGUCGUUCAAGACCAGGACGUUGAUAGGUCAGGUGUGGAAGCGCAGUAAUGCGUUAAGCUAACUGAUACUAAUUGCCCGUGAGGCUUGACCCU
rnacentral:rRNA from 1 species